CUCUAAAUUAGGGAUUUGAUUUAGGGUUGCUACAAUGGAUCCCUGGACAUCCCUAAUCGACCUAGUCGUUCCUUUCCUGCUGUUGGUCCUGCAUGAAGAUCUCUCUCAAGUCUCGAGUGCCCUCGUUCGAUCGGCCCUCUCUCACACCGUUUGCCAGCAUCUUCAGAGGCCCCUUCAUCGGCUAGAUUUCAUAUCAGAUGCUCAGAGACUAGCACAAGCAAGCGAAAGAUGUUUUGAUCUCUCUUGGGGGAAGUUUUUUUGCUUUAAACCCUUUCGAGAACGUUAUAGGGAAGUCAUUUGUAGUUGUAGAGGGGUUUGGAUGCUGUUUGGCCUUUUCAUUUCAUAGGCUUAUACUCCUUUUACAUGAGAAAGAAAAAUCAGUUAGACUGAGUACUUGUUCACCUUUUACAUGUGCAGUUUUUCAAUCAUAGGUUCCAAUACUUGACUAGGUAUUGACUAGAAUUUGGACCACCAAAGUUACGAAUGACAAUGCGACUUGGUAGACUGAUUCAUGCAGGUGCUUCUUUUGGGGGAAAGAGUAAUGUCUUGAAAGCAGAGAGGAAAGUGGGGCUUGGUGGAAAGAAGCCGCUUGGUUAUUUAUCGGUUUGAAUUAUACACUAUUUCAGCAUUAUUCUUUAUGGAUUCGAGGAUACACUGCUUUUUAUAAUUGAUUUCUUUUUUUUUUUUUUAUAGAAAAUAGACAUCACUUCAUUCCAUGAAGGAAGCCUAUUCUUUGGGAUUGUAUGUCUAAUGCAAGGCUGUGAUGAUGGUUUUAAUUACUCCAUGGGAGGGGUGUUAAUUCACAAGUAUUCUUAAUGGGGCUCUAUUGAUAUGGCAGGGUAAUCCGAACCCGGAUGGCCACCAAGUAUUUUGUGUUAGUUUUCACAAAAGGCAACCGGGAUUUAAGGUUUUGCAGCCAUUCGAGAUUGAGCUUCUGUCUUACGCAUGCUGUGAAUAAAAAAACCAUUAUGAGCCACAUGGAUCAUGCAUUCUUUAUGGAAGCGGAUGUGAAUGCUCUUAUUCAUUUAGCAUCGAAAUAGUUUCUUUACUAUCACUAUCUGAUUCUUAAGUGACAUGGAUUUAUUCAUAGCAUGUUCAUUUAUUCGACACACAUCCAUUUAGCAUUACUUUCUAUUAUGAUCAUUACUUUCUCACUUUCUCAUUUACGUUUUUAUGCUCUUAUUCAUUUUGCAUGUUGCUCAGUAUUGGAUUAGAACUUUAUAUUUUAAUCCAUAUAUUGCUUCUCUUAUUUAUGUUUUGACAAAUCCUUAUUCAUUUUGCAUGCUAAUUUCCUGCUGUUUGGAUUUUGAAAUUGAAGAAGCAUGGCAGACACGUUGUGAUUUAAUAAUGUUAAAUUAUUUUAUAUGUUCCUUUAGAACAUUUUGUUUUAAUCCAUAUAUUGCUCACCCAUUUCUAUUUUGAUGGUCUAAAUCAUUUGCAUACUACUCAGUAUUGUUUGGAUUUUGUACAUUAUAUUCCUUUAGUGUUAUGGUGAUAUAGUAAUGUUGCUCAAUUUUCUUUAUUAUAUUAGAGCAUUCAUGUCAUUGAAUUUUUUUGCUCUAACCCUCUCAGCUGUGAUGAUGACAAACUCUCGUGGGGACACAGAACAUUUGGCACAUACCUCCAUGUCAUAGUAACCUGAAUGGCCAAUAAGCAGUGGCAAUUGAUUGUUGUCGCCAUUUGAGGGUGCCAAAUUUCCUAUAUGUUACCAUUCGGUUUCCGAGCAGGUUAGUAAAAUCACAUCUUUAUAUUUUCUUAAGUGUC